AUUCUUUGAGAGGGUCCAGCCAACAUUCCAGACAGGACAGUGUUGUCCAUCUUCUUCAUCUUCAGCCUCCAAUGAGGCAGCCAAGACUUUGGUUCAUUCAACGUCGCUUCAUUGGGAUUAACCCAGAAAGGGGCACAAAAGCCGGUCAUGGGAAGAUGGUAUCCAAAAAGACAGGAAAGACCAUUCAAAAGAAAAAGUGACGGUCAAUGUUCAGGUUUCCACCCUCAUCAAAAACCUGAUGGACUUUGAGUGGCAUCUCAUUCAGUAAGUGCCACUUGGACUCUUGAAAACCAUUAAUAGUUCACAUUUUAAAACCCUGUUAGAAUUCCACAUUAUUUCAGCCAUGUUGAAUUUUAGGUUUUGGAAGUAAUUUUUCUUUGAUUUGUUUAGUGAUAACCAAAGCAUGGAUAUUUCUUUAAGAACUGUGUUUUUAUGUUCAUAAGAUUGUAGAAAUUAAUGAGUUAAACCCAGUUUAUGUCACUGUAAACUGAAAGUCUUCAAUUUUUAUUCCAGUGUUGGUGAAACUAUAUAUUGACUUUGAAGGCCUAUUUUAUACCAGUUCUCUGAGGAAUGGUUAUGUGUCACUCA